AAUGAACGUUGGCGGCAUGGAUUAGGCAUGCAAGUCGAGCGAGAAGCAUUCUUCGGAAUGUGGACAGCGGCAAACGGGGUAGUAAUACGUCGGUACGUCCCCCUGCGUUCGGAAUAGCCAUGGGAAACUGUGGGUAAUGCCGAAUAAUAUCUCCGGAUCAAAGGUCCGCCGCGCAGGGACCGGCUGACGCGAUACUAGGUAGUUGGUGAGGUAAAGGCUCACCAAGCCAUUGAUGUCUAGGGGGUGUGAGAGCAUGGCCCCCACCACUGGGACUGAGACACUGCCCAGACACCUACGGGUGGCUGCAGUCGAGAAUCUUCGGCAAUGGGCGAAAGCCUGACCGAGCAAUGCCGCGUGCGGGAUGAAGGCCUUCGGGUUGUAAACCGCUGUCAGAGGGGAUGAAACUUCGGUUGACAGAGCCUCAGAGGAAGCACGGGCUAAGUACGUGCCAGCCGCCGCCGUAACAC
rnacentral:rRNA from 1 species